GCCUUUGUGGUGUAGUGGUCAGCACACUCGGCCCGCAGUCGAGAGGUUCGGUUCGAGUCCUGGCGAGGGCU
rnacentral:tRNA from 1 species